GUAAAAGUUAGUUUUGCAAUAAAUGGGGCAUCACAUCGCUUCUUAUUAUUACUAUGAGAGACGCUAUUAUUUCAUAAACUAUAAUAUGUGAAAGUUAUUGUAGUCAAGUGCACAGUGCAGGUGGUGAAAGUGUUUUUUAUGAAUAUCAGACACCUGGUAGUGAACUAGUGGAAGCAGUGUGCGACAGGUGUUUAGGAGAUUUGUAAUAACUCAUACCUUUAAGUGUCAUCUUAAAAGAGAUGUAAAUUCAUUUUGAUUACUUUAAAAAGUCAUUAAAAGUCUAUAUCGUGUUCUACACUGUAUACACAGGUUUUACAGUGAAAAGGGAACCACGGUCAGUGAGUGACGUACAGUACAGUAAUCACAGUACAGUAAUCACAGGUGAGACUGACUGUCAAACACUAACAGUAUAAUUCUUACUGCUUGACCCAAAGCUAAAAGACGGAAUUCUGAAACACUGUUUCUGGCGCAAGGGUGUCGCUAACUUGUAACCUUUUACUAUUGAUGAUAGAUGGGGAUGAACAUUGUAUUUUGAAUUAAACUGUAAACAGAUCGUAAAUCCUCAAUUAAAGUUUUAAUAAUGUUAUUUCAUCAGCGGUGUAGUUAAAAGUAUGGAACGGGAUUGACUCCCGUUACUUGUGUCGGAAAGACUGAGGGAUCCAUGUCAACUCCACGAUCCAGUCCGUGUUUUAGACAUGUCUAAUUAAUUAACAGUCCAAAGCCAGGUGUGAUUAAUCUUUAUCAGCCUUCAAUUAGUGUCCUUUAAAACUUGUUCUGGCAGGAGUAGUGCGUUUUUAUCCUUAAAUAGUGGCUCUGCAGUGACAUAAAAAUAAUUUCGGGAUGUUUUGCUUCAUUUGGGUAGCAGAAUGCCGGAAUGUUUUCUUCCUAUUUAGAUGGGAGUAGUUCAAAAUGAAACAUGAAAAGGAAUCAGAGCUUCAGAAUAAUUAAGAAGGCGACCAGUAACUGCAUUUUUAGAAAAGCUUCCCGGCCUUUCUGUCCUCUACACCAGCCUGGACGCCGAAGCGCAGAGCUCCCGUGUGGCGUGAAACUGGACAGAUGAGCGGUCAGUUCGAAGCAGCAGUUGAUCCCGGAGAGCAGCCGGCCUCACCUCGCGGUCCCGGGUGGCCACCGUCUCUCCGGCCGGCUGUCCUGACUGGAGCGUUUCCUCUCCCGGGGCUCCAGACUGCGGACCGCCGGAGCUUCUGGAUAUCAGCCGACCGAGUAACGCCUGUUCGUUUUCUUUUUGUUCAAUUUUUGCAAUAAACCAGUGUCAUUGGA